rnacentral:rRNA from 1 species
AGAAUCUUCCGCAAUGGGGGGAACCCUGACGGAGCGAUGCCGCGUGAGGGACGGAGGCCUUCGGGUCGUAAACCUCUGUCACCCGGGACGAAGGAAUGACGGUACCGGGAGAGGAAGCCACGGCUAACUACGUGCCAGCAGCCGCGGUAACACGUAGGUGGCGAGCGUUAUUCGGAUUCACUGGGCGUAAAGGGUCCGCAGGGGGCCCUCCAAGCCCGCCGUGAAACCCCGGGGCCCAACCCCGGGCAUGCGGCGGGGACUGGCGGGCUGGGGUGCGCGAUGGGUGACUGGAACACCAGGUGUAGCGGUGGAAUGCGUGGAUAUCUGGUGGAACGCCGACGGCGAAGGCGAGUCACUGGCGCGCGACUGACCCUCAUGGACGAAAGCGUGGGUAGCGAACA